rnacentral:rRNA from 1 species
UACAGAGGGUGCAAGCGUUAAUCGGAAUUACUGGGCGUAAAGCGUGCGUAGACGGUCAUGUAAGUCGGGUGUGAAAGCCCCGGGCUCAACCUGGGAAUUGCAUUCGAGACUGCAUGGCUAGGGUGCGGAAGAGGGAAGCGGAAUUUCCGGUGUAGCGGUGAAAUGCGUAGAUAUCGGAAGGAACACCAGUGGCGGAAAGCGGCUUCCUGGUCCAGCACCGACGUUCAGGCACGAAAGCGUGGGGAGCAAACAGG